rnacentral:rRNA from 1 species
UUGAUCCUGGCUCAGAAUCAACGCUGGCGGCGUGCCUAACACAUGCAAGUCGAACGCGAAAGUCCCGCAAGGGAUCAGUAGAGUGGCAAACGGGUGAGUUACACGUGGGUGACCUGCCUUCGAGUGGGGGAUAACGUCCCGAAAGGGACUCUAAUACCGCAUGACAUCCUGCCUUUUAAGAGGUGGAGCUUAAAGCUGGUGAUCGCAAGACCUAGCGCUUGAAGAGGGGCCCGCGCCUGAUUAGCUAGUUGGUGGGGUAACGGCUCACCAAGGCAACGAUCAGUAUCCGGCCUGAGAGGUCGGACGGACACACUGGGACUGAGACACGGCCCAGACUCCUACGGGAGGCUGCAGUGGGGAAUUGUUCGCAAUGGGCGCAAGCCUGACGACGCAACGCCGUGUGGAGGAUGAAGACCUUCGGGUCGUAAACUCCUUUCGAUCGAGACGAAUGGCUUCCGGGUGAAUAGUCCGGAAGAGUGACGGUACCGAGAGAAGAAGCUCCGGCUAACUCCGUGCCAGCAGCCGCGGUAAUAAGGU